CCGAAAAGUGAUUAACUAUACCUGAAAAGGAUGAAGUCGGAGAAAACUUUGAUAGAAGUCCUCAUUGGGUUCUGAUGUGCAAAUCAGUCGAUAGACGUAGAUAGAGGGAUAAAAGACUAAUCGGGCCAUUUAUUACUUG
rnacentral:ncRNA from 1 species